AGGACGAACGCUGGCGGCGUGCCUAACACAUGCAAGUCGAACGAGGUCCAACCGGUGGCAACACUGGUGAAGACCGAGUGGCGAACGGGUGAGUAACACGUGAGCAACCUGCCUCGAAGACUGGGAUAACCCCGGGAAACCGGAGCUAAUACCGGAUACCCCCACCGGGUCGCAUGGCCUGGUGAGGAAAUGGAUUCCGCUUUGAGAGGGGCUCGCGGCCUAUCAGCUUGAUGGUGGGGUAAUGGCCUACCAUGGCACCGACGGGUAGCUGGUCUGAGAGGACGAUCAGCCACACUGGGACUGAGACACGGCCCAGACUCCUACGGGAGGCAGCAGUGGGGAAUCUUGCGCAAUGGGCGAAAGCCUGACGCAGCAACGCCGCGUGUGGGACGAAGGCCUUCUGGGUUGUAAACCACUUUCAGCAGGGACGAUUGUGACGGUACCUGCAGAGAGCCCCGGCAACUACGUGCCAGCAGCCGC
rnacentral:rRNA from 1 species